rnacentral:snoRNA from 1 species
GGGCAGUGACGAUUUCAUCGUGAAAGGUCUCGUUCGUCGUAAUGGCUCUUUAAAGGCCUUGCCGACCAUAACCAUAUUCCGAGCCC